GCCGCCGCCGCCGUGACGACCUCCCCCUUCGCAGCGCUGCACCGGCUCCCCGGCUGCCGCCUCGAUCUGCAGCGCGCGAUACCUCCUCAUCACCAAGAACGGAAGGAAAUAUCUGCAUUUUUUAGUUACAGUUGUUUGGUUCUUCUUUCCUUUGGUUCCAAGAGUGUACAGGUUUGA
rnacentral:lncRNA from 1 species